ACCAGGUGUAGUGCAGCACACCUGUAAUCCCAGUGGCUGGGGAGGCUGAAGCAGAAGGAUCACAAGUUUGAGGGCAGCCUCAGCAACUUAGCAAGGCCCUAAGCAACUUAGUGAGACCCUGUCUCUA
rnacentral:sRNA from 1 species